rnacentral:tRNA from 1 species
UUUUAUAUAGUUUAAUAAAAACAUUAUAUUUUCAAUAUAAAAUUAAUUUAUAUAAAUUUAUAAAUA